UGUGGGAGCGGGCUUGCUCGCGAAGACGGAUUGUCAUUCAACAUCAUCGUUGAGUUGUAAAUCGCUUUCGCGAGCAAGCCCGCUCCCACA
rnacentral:antisense_RNA from 3 species